rnacentral:rRNA from 1 species
AUUGAACGCUGGCGGCAUGCCUUACACAUGCAAGUCGAACGGCAGCACGGGGCAACCUGGUGGCGAGUGGCGAACGGGUGAGUAAUGCAUCGGAACGUACCUUUCAGUGGGGGAUAACGUAGCGAAAGUUACGCUAAUACCCCAUAUUCUGUGAGCAGGAAAGCAGGGGAUCGCAAGACCUUGCGCUGAUUGAGCGGCCGAUGUCAGAUUAGCUAGUUGGUGAGGUAAAGGCGCACCAAGGCGACGAUCUGUAGCGGGUCUGAGAGGAUGAUCCGCCACACUGGAGCUGAGACACGGUCCAGACUCCUACGGGAGGCAGCAGUGGGGAAUUUUGGACAAUGGGGGCAACCCUGAUCCAGCCAUGCCGCGUGAGUGAAGAAGGCCUUCGGGUUGUAAAGCUCUUUCGGCCGGGAAGAAAUCGCACGGGCUAAUACCCUGUGUGGAUGACGGUACCGGAAUAAGAAGCACCGGCUAACUACGUGCCAGCCGCCGCAGUAAAAC